GACGAACGCUGGCGGCGUGCUUAACACAUGCAAGUCGAACGGAAAGGCCCUGCUUUUGUGGGGUGCUCGAGUGGCGAACGGGUGAGUAACACGUGAGUAACCUGCCCUUGACUUUGGGAUAACUUCAGGAAACUGGGGCUAAUACCGGAUAGGAGCUCCUGCUGCAUGGUGGGGGUUGGAAAGUUUCGGCGGUUGGGGAUGGACUCGCGGCUUAUCAGCUUGUUGGUGGGGUAGUGGCUUACCAAGGCUUUGACGGGUAGCCGGCCUGAGAGGGUGACCGGCCACAUUGGGACUGAGAUACGGCCCAGACUCCUACGGGAGGCAGCAGUGGGGAAUAUUGCACAAUGGGCGGAAGCCUGAUGCAGCAACGCCGCGUGCGGGAUGACGGCCUUCGGGUUGUAAACCGCUUUCGCCUGUGACGAAGCGUGAGUGACGGUAAGGGGUAAAGAGGCACCGGCUAACUACGUGC
rnacentral:rRNA from 1 species